UCAGUAGCCAGAGCCUCAGCAGUGACAUCAGAUCCUUAACCCCCUGAGCCACCAGGGAUCUCCCAAGGUUUGUGUCUUGAAAGUUAACUCCUAACAGAUGAUGAACACAAAUCUUCCUCUGAGUCCUCCCACAGCCCUGGAAGGGGAUGCUGGUACCACAUUUUAUAAAUGAGGAAUCUGAGGCUCAACUGUCACAACCUGAGUUUCGGGAGCUCCAGUUCAGCCCAAGCUGCUCCCUCCACUUAAAAUACUUAAAAUCCUUUCUCGGAAGUCCCUGUUGUGGCUCAUCAGGCUAAGGACCCAAUGCUGUCUCCGUGAAGAUUCGGCGUCGAUCCCUGGCUUUGCUCAGUGGCUCAAGGAUUAGGUGUGGCUUCAAGCCGCAGCAUAGUUUGCAGAUGCGGCUCUAAUUUGACCCCUGGUCCAAGAACUUUCAUAUGCCGCAGGUAUGGCCAUAAAAAGGAAAAAAUUAAUAAAUAAAUAAAAUCCAUUUCACCUCUUCCCUCUCCUCCUCCAAGCCUUCCCUUCAGCUGCCCAGAGAGCCACAGAAGUGCCUGCCUCUGCCAUACAUAUGGGACAGGGAAAGGGGACAAGUCAGGAAAGAAAGAAGCACCUCCAGGCUCUGGGAGGUGAUCCUGGCUCCCCACUGCCCGGGCCAGGCUCAUCCAAGAUCUUCCAAGGCUUUUGCAUGCUGCACACUUUGUUUGAUGAAAUCCCCAAGAAAGCCAGUUUGGCAUCAGGCUCUCUGAGCCCAAGGCCUGGCUGGAUGCCACGGGAAGCCCCACCUGGAUCUUGCAAAGCACAGUUGGUUUUCAGCCUGCCCCCUCUUGGGGGGAGGGUACUUGGAAAAACCCUUCUGCUGAAGGUGACUGCGUUCUGUCCCCAAAGGAGAGUCCAGCCCCUGCAGCCUUGGGGUGGCUUCUCCCUGACCCCAGGGAGACUCCUGUGAGUGCCUUGUCUGAAACCCCAAUGUCUGGAACCCCAGGCCAGGCAAGGGUCUGCCAGACUUUGCUGAGGGCUGGGCCCUGGGAAACCCCAAACUUGACACCCCAGGAAGCAAAUAAAACACUUGAAAUGUGCAA